rnacentral:rRNA from 1 species
CUACGGGAUGCAGCAGUCGAGAAUCUUCCGCAAUGGGCGAAAGCCUGACGGAGCGACGCCGCGUGCUUGAAGAAGCCCUUCGGGGUGUAAAGAGCUUUUCUGGAAGAAUAAUCUUCGGAUGAAGGUAUUUCAGGAAUAAGGGGAGGCAAAUCACGUGCCAGAAGCCUCGGUAAUGCGUGAUCCCCAAGCGUUAUCCGGAUUAAUUGGGCGUAAAGCGUUCGUAGGCGGCUAAAUAAGUCUUUGGUUAAAGACCACGGCUUAACUGUGGAAAUGCCAGAGAUACUAUUUAACUAGAGGGCGUUAAAGGCUGAUGGAACGGUCGGUGUAGGGGUGACAUCCGUUGAUAUCGACCGGAACACCGAAAGCGAAGGCAUUCAGCUGGGGCGACCCUGACGCUGAGGGACGAAAGCGUGGGUAGCGAACGGGAUUAGAUACCCCUGUAGUC